GCUGGGGCAGGUUGGAUUACAACUGGAGCAGGUUGGAUUACAACUGGGAUUACAGCUGGGGCAGGUUGGAUUACAGAUGGGGCAGGUUGGAUUACAACUGGGGCAGGUUGGAUUACAACUGGAGCAGGUUGGAUUACAACUGGGAUUACAGCUGGGGCAGGUUGGAUUACAGCUGGGGCAGGUUGGAUUACAACUGGGAUUACAGCUGGGGCAAAUUGGAUUACAGCUGGGAUUACUGCUGGGGCAGGUUGGAUUACAGCUGGGGCAGGUUGGAUUACAACUGGGAUUACAACUGGGACAGGUUGGAUUACAGCUGGGGCAGGUUGGAUUACAGCUGGGAUUACUGCUGGGGCAGGUUGGAUUACAGCUGGGGCAGGUUGGAUUACAGCUGGGGCAGG
ensembl:lncRNA